UAGUAAGCGGAGGAAAAGAAAACAACCGUGAUUCCCUGAGUAGCGGCGAGCGAAACGGGAUGAGCCCAGCACCGAAUCUCGUGCCUGAUUGCAGCGGGCACCGAGAAAUGUGGUGUUAGGGAAGGGUCGUCUUUGCCCCAUGUUUACGUACGCCGAUGUCCAAGUUCGAUCGAACGCGGCUACCUCGUGCCCAUAGAGGGUGCAAGGCCCGUAGGACCGGUGCGCGGCACGUGGGAGCGGCCCUUCCCGUGGAGUCGGGUUGUUUGAGAGUACAGCCCAAAGUUGGUGGUAAACUCCACCAAAGGCUAAAUACGACCACGAGACCGAUAGCGAACAAGUACCGCGAGGGAAAGUUGAAAAGAACUCUGAAGAGAGAGUUCAAGAGUGCGUGAAACCGCUCAGGGGUAAACGAAUGGAAUUGCCGAAGCUCGAACGAGGAGAUCUCAGGGCGCUCGCUGUUGGCGGUCACCUGGGUGCGGGCGGCGUUUGUGUGGUGGUCCCCCUUGGGGUUGAUUGCCGCCGGGCGUCGUCGUCGGUGCUCAUCGAUGUGCUAGCGCGAGAGCUCGUAUGGCUCCUCCAGUAGGACGUCGCAACCUGUCGGAACGUACCCUCGUUAAGAGGCGUUCGUGCGGCCCCGGGGCUGUGCUUCCCUGUCAGUUAACAUCGCGUCGCCUUUCGCGGGGCUUGAUGCGGUGGGCAGGUUGCGGCGCGCCAUGUUCUUCGGAGCGUGGUGCGUCUCAAGCCCCUCGGGUGAGCCGUUGUUCGCCCUCCGACAGUUGGAUUCGGACGCGUACCGGUCCGGUUGAUGCUCGUUUCGGCGGGCGUCCCGGUGAGCCGGAGUGCUGGCAGCAGCGUCGGUGCGUGCGAUGUGGUUUGAGCCCUCUGGGUUCCCUGUCGUGCGUUCCCGGCGUUGGACACUUGCUGGCAUCUCUGCUGCUCGGCGGUGCGCGUCGGAGUUGGCGGCGAGUUUGGUUGUGAUUCCAUUCGACCCGUCUUGAAACACGGACCAAGGAGUCUAACAUGUGCGCGAGUCUCGGUGCUACCAAACACCAAGGCGUAGUGAAAGCGAAGGCUUGCCUUUGUGCUCGCUGAGGGGAGAUCCGUCGUUGGUUGCAAAGCCGCGGCGGCGCAUCCCCGGGGCGUCUGCGAAGGUGUCGGUUUCGGCCGGCGACCGGGCAGGCGCACCUAGAGCGCACAUGUUGGGACCCGAAAGAUGGUGACCUAUGCCCGGCCAGGACGAAGCCAGGGGAAACUCUGGUGGAGGUCCGCAGCGAUUCUGACGUGCAAAUCGAUCGUCUGAGCCGGGUAUAGGGGCGAAAGACUAAUCGAACCAUCUAGUAGCUGGUUCCGCCCGAAGUUUCCCUCAGGAUAGCUGGCGCUCGCUCUUGAAGGAGUCUCAUCCGGUAAAGCGACUGAUUAGAGGCUUUGGGGUCGCAAUGACCUCGACCUAUUCUCAAACUUUAAAUGGGUGAGAAGCAGGGCCUUCCUAAACGGUCGAGGCCCUGCGUCUUCUUCGGGAUCCACGAGCGCCUAGUGGGCCAUUUUUGGUAAGCAGAACUGGCGCUGUGGGAUGAACCAAACGCCCGGUUAAGGUGCCCGACUUGACGCGCAUGAGACACCAUUAAAGGCGUCGGUGGCUGAAGACAGCAGGACGGUGGCCAUGGAAGUCGGCAUCCGCUAAGGAGUGUGUAACGACUCACCUGCCGAAGCGACCGGCCCUGAAAAUGGAUGGCGCUGCAGCGUCGGACCUAUACCGGGCCGCCGGGACAGAGCACGGGUUUCAGAGGGCUGCUUCGGCGGCACUCCCCGCGUGAAGUCCCGGUGAGUAGGGCGGAGCCUGCCGGUGUGCGUUGAAGGGGACUGGGCGCGAGCCCGCCUGGAGCCGCCGGUGCUGCAGAUCUUGGUGGUAGUAGCAAAUACUCUGGAGAGGCCCCGGAGGACUGAUGCGGAGAAGGGUUUCGCGUGAACAGCUGUUGGACGCGAGUCAGUCGAUCCUAAGCCCUAGGCGAAAGCCGAGAUGGAGAGGCGACGGCAGAUGAAACGACUCAUAGUCUGCUGACGCACUUCGUCGCACACAGGGCGAAAGGGAAUCCGGCUAAAAUUCCGGAACCUGGCAGCGGAACCGUUGGCCCUUUGGGUCGCGAGCCCCAGGCGGCGGCAGUGCUUGCGCUGUCGUCGCCCGGUUCGUCGCGGUAACGCGACAAAACCCGGAGACGCCGGCGGUGGGCCCGGGAAGAGUUAUCUUUUCUCCAAAAGCGGCCGAGGCCCUGGAAACCUCUUGGAGGGAGAGAGGGUUUUGGUUACGCGAGGAACGUCGCCAACACGGGGCGGCGUCCGGGUUUCUACCGUCAGGCCCUUGAAAAUCCGGGCGAGGGGCACGCGGAGGUGUCGCGCCAGAUCGUACCCAUAUCCGCAGCAGGUCUCCGAGGUGCACAGCCUCUAGUUGCUAGAUCAAUGUAGGUAAGGGAAGUCGGCAAACCAGAUCCGUACCUUCGGAAGA
rnacentral:rRNA from 1 species